UUUAUGAAUUGCCAUAGAAAAUGGGUAGGGUGCUUAAUUUAGCAACAUGACUUAGUGCAUAGACUAGAUGUGAUCUACAUUCUUCUGGUCAGAAGACUUUUUGGCACAAAUCCUUGAGGUCAUUACAUGUUCUCAAUAAAAGGUAUCUAGAUGUUAAUUCUUUCUUCAGUUUUUGUCCAUGCAUGCAUGCUUCUGCGAAUAGUCUUUGACUAGGUUUGUAGGUCCAAUCUCGGUUUUUGUAGUCACCAGAGUUAGUCUGAUGGUAACUGAUCCAGUUUUGGCGUGCUCAUGGUACGAAUGAGAAACUGUAAAACCACAGGGUCUCUCCUGUUCUAGUGCUAGACGCUAACACAGAAGAUCCGGGCAAGAUCGCCUCUACAAUGAUUGAUCUCAACUCGAGGCCAAACCGGAUUCAUGGGCAACCUUCAAAUACACAGGUGCAGGGGAUGAAUGCUUUAAGCGAUAGCAAUCAUGAAUGUGCAAGCGUAGUUCCAGUGGGAUCUUGCAAUCAAGAUCUAGAGAAGUAAGCAAGGUUGACAAGCUAAAGAAGUCAGUGGAGGAUGAAAUUCAUUUUCUCAAGGGAAGGGUUUUAGAACUUGAAAGUGAUCUUGUGUUGAAGUCCACAGAAGUUACAUAUACAGUUUUAAGGAAAGAAAAAGCUCUAUCUUCUACAUUUGCUGAAAUUGACCGUUUGAAGGAAUAAAAUUCUGUAAACACGUGAGCAUUAUUGAAUGCAUAUAGAGGGUGUUUACUGUGUUGGAGUGUAUUUGUUUCUUUCACAUGAGGGCACGCAUUAGUUGUAAUUCUUAUGAUAGGUUGAGCAAAGUGAAGUAUUGUUUAUUUAGAAAUGUGAAUGUAUGAUGCAUUAUAUGAUUUGAUUGCUA